AUCAAACAACACUAUUAUGUUGCAACGGUCCUGCUGUCGCUUUGUUUGGAAAUAUUUCCGUUGGAGGAGCAAAGAGUAACUGUCAAUAUUGUGUCUAAAAUAAUUAGAUGAACAUGCCCCACUUGAAACGGUGUCUGAACGUUCAGCUAAACAGCAGGAUUCAACCACUUCAGGUGGUGCUCGGUUUGUCGGCUUAGAUUGUGAAGGUGAGGUGAGGAAUAAAAG